AACCCGAAAGCCGAAAAGGGUAAACAGAGUAGGCA
rfam:Mucilaginibacter sp. OK098 genome assembly, contig: Ga0066759_109